UAGUAUCUUGUGUCUCAGCUAGUUUUAUUAUUAUUACUGCAGUUUAAAUGGAGGAAUGGUUGGUUUUAUUCGCUCUCCGAGAAGGCGAUUGUAGAAGGGAAACCUGAUCCGUGUCAACUCCACACCCAGUGGCUGAGAGAGCUAAAAGUGAUAUAGAGCCUUGACGGUACGUGACACUUUAGUAGAUAGUCGCAGAUCAUUGAUCUGAAACUUGUUUGAGCUUUGUACACGUAUGAGAAGCCAAAUAACGGUAAAACGUUUGACAUUUUGUUAAAAAAAGCCCAGACUUUUAUUCGUGAAAAGUAUGCGUAUCCAACGAGCAAACGUCUGGUUCUUGUCCUAUCAGUUAGAAAAUUUGAAGUUGUUUUUUUUUUCAUAUUAGCUGUCCUUAUUAGGUGAUCUAGGAGGUUUCAUCUUAACUGAUCUCCAGAUGGUCCCACCUUUGAAAAUAACCUGUCCUGAAAAAAGUUUGUUUCCUUGCGUCUUUGAAGACUAAAAAAACAAAGAACCAGGAUCGUGUACGUAAUCUUGUCUGAAUCUUCGCCAAGUUGGUCCAAAGAGGUGUUCUGAAGGUUUCUUAUCCCAGUUACUAUAAUACAGGGCUGAAGAUUAGCGUUAGCAUAUCACAUAACAAAUGGAACAGGAGAACUUUGCUUGUCAAAUGGUACAGUGAGUAGAAGUUACGUUAAUUGUAACAAAAGAAGUUGCAUUUGUAGCUUUGGUAACUAUCUAGAGCGAAUCUAUAUAGAACUUGUAGAUGUAUUAGAGCGAAGCUAAAGAAGACCCACACAGACGAGCACUCGGUAUCGACCAGAUUUCCACUUUCACCCACCGAGAUUGACCAACCAGCUGAGAGCAUUGCAGAGUACAUACAUGCUCGUGAGAGAAAAUAUGAUGUGAAAGAAUGGGUAUGAGUAAGUCACUGGCUUCUUCUGCGCUUUCUCUUCCUUGUAUUCUGUUUUCCCGUCUAGCGGAAAGCAGAGGCUUUUCUGAACGUUUCCAACACCAACCAUCUUGUUGCAGUCCAAGUUUGUGAAAUAAGUUGUAGACAUGCUAAAAUGAAGGUUCUAUCAAAAAUUUAGAUGUCUAACAAAAUGGUGUAACUGCUACAUAUGUUUUGUUCGCAAACACCCUUCGGAUGUUGCAAGAGUCAGAUCGUAGGUAAAUGCAUUUGUGGAAUGUGAAUGACACACUGUGUGCCAAAUUUGCAGGUUUGGUUAUAUCAAAACCAUGGUUCUUGAUGGGAUUGUAUCUUCACCAUUAAGGAGACACCAGUCUCUAAAGAAGCAGUGGGAAGAUUUGGGCAGCUGCUCCACCGUUAUCAACAGGCAUCGAUAUCUUUUAACAGCUUUGCUUCUUUUGGCCUUCCUUUGCACUGUUUAUCUAUACUUCGCUGUUACUUUAGGUUCUAGACACUCCUCGUGCUAUGGCUUGACCGGGAAAGACAAGGCAGUGUGUCAAUUUCAACAUGUCCAAGCUAUCUCUAAAGGGAAACUCAAAUUCUUCUAGAGUUGUCAUGGAGCCAAAGCUGAAACCCCACCUUAUUCUUAUUGAUCUCCAACAUUAAUUUUUAAAAAUUGAUUGUACAAUGCCAUUUGUGUGUAUUAUUAUUAUUAUUACAUGGUGAAAAAACCUGAGACAUAUCAUAAUUGAAAAGAUCAAAGCAUUUUCUUUUAUGAGAUGAGAGGAUAUAUCUGCAGUGUUUCGAGAAGUUGAUCACCAUGUUUGUAGAGGAUCCAGAGGCUCAACAUUAGGUUUCGGGGAUGUGUUACUAUACGUAGAUGCUGGAGCAGUCGCACCAACGUCCACGGUCUCGUUUAUUUUGAGUUCCAUGGCUUGAUCAUCUUCGUCCUCAAUAUAAAUCUAUUGAGUCAUAAGAAGAAGAGCUACCUCUCUGUUGUGAGAACAGAGUGCUCAGCUCAGAGAGAGAAGCAGGCCAAAGAUACAAUACAUUUGAUGACGUUAGAGCAGAAAAUACUUGCCAUAAUCUUUUUUUUUUUUUUGAAAGAAUUCUAAAUUUAUUCAAACAAAAAAACCUUUUUACAGAAUGUACAGCAUCUCUAUUACAAAAGAUAUGAAAGAACAGAAAAAGCUACUACUACUCCUUGAGCUUCUCCCUAACCAAAUAAUCAUUGUCUUCUCAUGUUUCCCACCCGGUUUCCUUCUUAGCGAUGUGAUUCGGUUUCGCACCAUCUUAUCCAAUCUCACACUUAAACAAGCAGCAGGCUAAGAAGACUCUCCCACCCUCCUCACAUUUCGUUCAUGCCAAAUAGCAUAAACUACCACUUGGACACAAUAUCUCAUCAGAUACAUCAACCCUUUCUCUUGCGAACCAGUCACCACAGCUCAAAUCACUCUAUUCCAUUGAUAAAGAUUUUCACAUUAUUCAUAAUGUAUAAUUCAUCUAAAUGAAAUUACACACAAAAAUCACCAAAAAACGACAUAAAUUAUAUCAUAAACCCAUAAACACAAUUUUCAAAAUCCUUUUUAAUAUUUUAAAAUUUGCAUUGAAUCUUUUUUUUACACUAACCGAGAUAUACACUUCUUUUUAAUAGUAUUUCAGUAAAAAUUUCACCAAAAACGGACAUAAAAUAUACCCGAAAUUCAUAAACACAGUUUUUAAAAUCGUUUUUUAUCUCUCAAUAUUUUCAUUAAUUCUUACCUUUUUAACGUUACCCAUGAUAUAAAAACAUUUAAAUGAUAUUCCAGAAAAAAAUCAUCGAAAACAGACAUAAAAUAUACCUGAAAUCCAUAAACACAGUUUUCAAAAUCGUUUUUAUCUCUCAAUAUUUUCCUCAAUUCUUACUUUUUUAACGUUACCCAUGAUGUAAAAAACAUUUAAAUGAUAUUCCAGAAAAACAAUCAUCGAAAAUGGACAAGAAUCACCUCUUCUUCAAGCUUCAAAAUCAUCAAUGGAGGAUGGGGAAGAUGAGCUUUCACGAUGGGAGAUAAAAGCAUGUGGGCCAAGUAAAAUCUCAUUGGUUAAGGUUAAUAUGUGGGCCAUGGUGGUAGAUGAAUUAUGGUUGGUUAAUUUAAUUGGAGAAAUUAAUGUAUUUAUGAGGUGGAAUAAGAUAUAAUAAACUAAUGAAGGGUUAUAUAUGGAAGCACAAUGAUAAAGGGGGAGUGAGAAUAGAGAGGGGAUAAGGAGAAUCAUUUUUUUUUUCAUAGGGGCAUAUGGAGUUAAAGACCGUUUAUUUUUGCCUUUUUCUCUGUUUCCUAUGGACCCAAACUGUCACUAAAUAAUACUAGUAGUGGGACUCUUCCUUGUCGUUUUCCUUUGUCGGGAAACUGAAAUUUUAUGAUUGGGUUUAGGGAGAUUUGAUUAUUAGCGGGAACCGUGUUUGAAAAACCGAGUAAAAUAAACAGAAUUACCUUACCGUUUGGUUUGGUACAACUUCGGUUUCGGCGAUUCAAAAGUUAGUAAACCGAAAUGAUUCAUCUAUCUAUAUUAUUAAAACUGAAGUACAUUUUGGUAUUGAUGGAAAACAUUGAGAAUUGUUUAAAAAUAUAGAUAACAAAUUAGUUACUUCAUUUUAUUUACAUAUUUAGCCAUUGCAUUUAUAAUAAAUUACGUAUUUCUUUUUUGUAUUUUUUAUUUACAGAUUCUGCCACUACAUUUAAAAUCAAUUUAGUUAAUUAAUUACAAUGGUUGUUGUUUCUUUAUGGUGAAAAUAAAAACACAAACUGAAAUAUAUAGUAUAUAUUAUAUAUAAGAAUUUUAAAUAUAGUAUUAUUUUAUUUAGUUUAGUCAAAUAUAAAAAUUUCGAGAAUUCAAUUUUCAAAAAAACAAAAUAUCAUAAAAUUAAUAAUAAUUCAUAGAAAACUAAUGCAAAAAUUAAAAUUUUAGGUAUGCCUUUUUCAUUUGAAAAUAAAUUAACAAAAGAGAACAACAUGUUAAUAUAUGAACAAUACAAUUACAUCAAAUUGUAUUAAAUUAUAAUAAAAAUAUAAUAUUAUGUACAAAGAAAAAAAUUUAUUAUCAAACAUCUAUAUUAUAAAAUAAUAUUCUCUACUCUAUAUAUGUAAACUACAAAACAUAAAAAAUAUACAUUGAUUUUUUUUUAUAAAACCAACGGUUUAUGAUUUUAUAUUAAACACAAAUUAAAUCAGACAUCCGCGCAGGGCACAAGUAAGUUAUAGUAUCUUAUUACUUGUCGUUGCAUAAUGUUGGAUAUGUGCCCUGAUUAUUGUCCAAUAGCAAUCAAGAAGAAAAGAAAAACGGCCCAGCAAGAGCCCAACCCAUUUCACCAAGGGUCAGUUGGUUUACAUGUUCGUCAGGACGACCUGAACACGCAACUGAGUGUCAGGAAAAAAUGGCGCGGCGCCUAGCAGUACACUUCAAAACUUUUGCCCCCAAAACACUACUUUAUCGUUUGAAUGAAGAUUUCUAGACCUGAUUAUCGAAUCUAGGAUUCAACACUUACGAUAUGUAACAUGAUCAAUUUCACAACAGCAAAACAACUUUGGCUAUUCGUAGAUUAUAGAUCGCAGUUGCAUGUUGCAGAGACGUGCAAUGAAUAGGUUGAUAUGCAUCUGAACGGGUUAGACCCGAUUUGAGCAUCUCCGUGUUUAGAAAGAUACUUAGUCUCUUCGGGCACAUCUGAUAAAAUUAGAUCAUUACAGAAAAGAUUAGCGUGGCCCAUCCGCUAGGAUGACAUGCACAAAUCGAGAAAUUGUCUAAAUUGAAGCCUUUGACUAAAAAACAUACUCAAACCAUCGAACUACUUGCCGUUUUGGUUUUAUCAAACCGCAUGUCAUGUUGUUUUCAGCUUCGCGAAUCAACCAAAGCCGAUAAGCUAUAGUGGGUCAGAGCCUCGAAUCAUCGAGUGGCUAAUAAACCAUCACUGUUUACGAAAUAGUCCAAAACCAUGAGAGGCCACAACUUCGCCGAAGCCCAUUAUCAUCCUUUCAAUGGCUAAAGCCACCACCACUCUGUUUGCUAUCUCCUCUGUUUCGACUCGUUUCUCUCUUCUCCGUCGUUCUAAAUCUCUUAAACCAUCAGCUCCAAGCGCAAGACUCGCCGUGCCAAUGGCUAUGGCCGCCUCUGCUAAAAAGGUGGCUCCUGCUGUGAUCGUGGGUGGGGGAAGAGUCGGAAGGGCGUUGCAGGAAAUGGGUAGUGGCGGUGAUUUGUUGGUGAAGAGAGGAGAAGCAGUCCCGGUUGAUUUCGAAGGACCCAUUUUGGUUUGUACUAGAAAUGAUGAUCUCGAUGCUGUUCUUGAUGCUACUCCUCAGUCUAGAUGGAAAGGUAUAAACUUUCUCUCUACUCUUAAAGAUUCUUGAGUGAAUCAAAUUGCCAGAUGUUUUCUGGGAGAUAAUGAUUAUGUUGUGCUCUGUGUAAAUAAUCAGAUUUGGUGUUCUUCCAAAACGGAAUGAUGGAGCCGUGGUUUGAGAGCAAAGGUUUGGGUGAUGCAGACCAAGUGUUGGCUUAUUUUGCUGUUUCGAAGAUUGGUGAGCCUCCUGUGGAUGGAAUAACUGACACUAACCCAGAAGGGUUAACCGCUGCUUAUGGCAAAUCGGCUUCGGAUGUAGCUGCAAGACUUCAAUCUGGUGGCCUCUCUUGCAAGGUUACGUGAAUCAAAACUUGUUUUUACUCUAUAACAAAAGAAAACAAGACUACUUACGUGUGUCUUUCCGUGGUUAGGUACUUGAGAAAGAAGCUUUUGAGAAGCAAAUGUUGGAGAAACUCAUUUGGAUUUGUGCGUUUAUGCUUGUUGGAGCUCGUCAUCCAGGUGCAAGUGUUGGCAUUGUGGAGAAAGAAUACAGAGACGAAGUACAAAAGUCUCCAUCCCUCUGUUCUUGUUUUAGCAUUCAGAAAAUCGUUGUUCACGUCUAACUUCUAAUUAAUUUAUAAGUUCAGGUGUCGAGACUCAUCCAAGAACUCGCAGCAGCUGCUGCUGCAGAAAAGGGACUAACGUUUGAAGACAACAUGGUGGAGAGACUAUGUGCUUAUUCUCGCGCUGUUGCUCAUUUCCCAACCGCUGUUAAAGAAGUAUACAUAUACAUAUUGAUCUCACCUCUUAAGUCCUUGUGUGGACUAGUAUCUUGUGUCUCAGCUAGUUUUAUUAUUAUUACUGCAGUUUAAAUGGAGGAAUGGUUGGUUUUAUUCGCUCUCCGAGAAGGCGAUUGUAGAAGGGAAACCUGAUCCGUGUCAACUCCACACCCAGUGGCUGAGAGAGCUAAAAGUGAUAUAGAGCCUUGACGGUACGUGACACUUUAGUAGAUAGUCGCAGAUCAUUGAUCUGAAACUUGUUUGAGCUUUGUAC
rnacentral:lncRNA from 1 species